AGUGAACGCUGGCGGUAGGCCUAACACAUGCAAGUCGAACGGCAGCACAGUAAGAGCUUGCUCUUACGGGUGGCGAGUGGCGGACGGGUGAGGAAUACAUCGGAAUCUACUUUUUCGUGGGGGAUAACGUAGGGAAACUUACGCUAAUACCGCAUACGACCUACGGGUGAAAGCAGGGGAUCUUCGGACCUUGCGCGAUUGAAUGAGCCGAUGUCGGAUUAGCUAGUUGGCGGGGUAAAGGCCCACCAAGGCGACGAUCCGUAGCUGGUCUGAGAGGAUGAUCGGCCACACUGGAACUGAGACACGGUCCAGACUCCUACGGGAGGCAGCAGUGUGGAAUAUUGGACAAUGGGCGCAAGCCUGGUCCAGCCAUACCGCGUGGGUUAAGAAGGCCUUCGGGUUGUAAAGCCCUUUUGUUGGGAAAGAAAAGCAGCAGGUUAAUACCCCGCUGUUCUGACGGUACCCAAAGAAUAAGCACCGGCUAACUUCGUG
rnacentral:rRNA from 1 species